AUUGAACGCUGGCGGCAUGCCUUACACAUGCAAGUCGAACGGUAACAGGUCUUCGGAUGCUGACGAGUGGCGAACGGGUGAGUAAUACAUCGGAACGUGCCUAGUAGUGGGGGAUAACUACUCGAAAGAGUGGCUAAUACCGCAUGAGAUCUACGGAUGAAAGCAGGGGAUCGCAAGACCUUGUGCUACUAGAGCGGCCGAAGGCAGAUUAGGUAGUGGGUGGGAUAAAAGCUUACCAAGCCGACGUUGUGUAGCUGGUCUGAGAGGACGAUCAGCCACGAUGGGACUGAGACACGGCCCAGACUCCUACGGGAGGCAUCAGUGGGGGAUUUUGGACAAUGGGCGAAAGCCUGAUCCAGCAAUGCCGCGUGCAGGAUGAAGGACUUCGGGUUGUAAACUGCUUUUGGACGGAACGAAACGCCCCGGGUUAAUACCCUGGGGUCAUGACGGUACCGUAAGAAUAAGCACCGGCUAACUACGUGCCAGCCGCCGCCGUAA
rnacentral:rRNA from 1 species